rnacentral:rRNA from 1 species
UACGUAGGGAGCAAGCGUUGUCCGGAAUCAUUGGGCGUAAAGCGCGUGUAGGCGGCUUGGUAAGUCUGCUCUGAAAGCCCGGGGCUCAACCCCGGGAGGCGGGUGGAUACUGCUGAGCUCGAGUCCGGAAGAGGCGAGUGGAAUUCCUGGUGUAGCGGUGAAAUGCGCAGAUAUCAGGAGGAACACCGAUGGCGAAGGCGGGUCUCUGGACAGUUCCUGACGCUGAGGCACGAAGGCCAGGGGAGCAAACGGG